GAAGUGGGGUAAAGGCAGGGAUAAGAUUGACGAAGAAGACCCCACUCUUUUUUCCUCAGUUCUGUUUGUUUACCGAGAAACUGAAAGAAAAAGACACCUCUUAGAAACCAUGGCGGUUCGAGCCACGAUGUCACGCUUUUCUACGGACCCAGACGCACAAGAAGCUUCACGCCUGCCAUGGGGCGUCACUGUGACACCCUUCGCAACCAAGGACGAGAACGGCGUCAAGCCGGUGUACGGAUCCGAUGGGAAUUUGCUACCUCGAUGCGAGGACUGUUAUGCCUAUUUCAAUGAGUACUGCGAACUGGAGCAGUGGGCGUGGUCAUGCUCGCUUUGUGGGACCCUAAACGGUCUCUCUUCUCAGGCCAUUGCCAGAUACUCUUAUCCUCGGUCUUGCGCCGAGAUGGUCUCUUCUUUCAUUGCCAAGAGAAAGUUGAGGUUUAAUAGGCAAGAGGUGUCAGAUCAUGGAACAAGAGAUUGAGAAUUUGUCAAAGGACAAGCAGGAACUCCAGGAAAAGUUUUCCCCAAGUGAAGGAGCAGGUAACUAAAGUCAAUUAGGAAGGUGUCAACGCAUGAACAGAGAAACAGAUCGUGAACUAAAAGCAUAUUGCCUUGCAUUUGACGAUGAAUUAGGUCCUCCGCCAGUUGCUGAUGUUAAAUCUUUGACACAUUAUGGAGAACCUUAUGAUGGUAACAGUACAAGUUUCUUUAGGAGCAUAUUGUUUGUUGCUGUUGUUAGAUCUUGCUACAGAGAAUCCUGCUUAUGGUGUGGAAUGGAUGCCUUCUAAGAUUUUUUGACAAGUAGGAACUCCAGGAAAAGUUUUCCCAAAGUGAAGGAGCAGAGUGAUUUGGAUAUUGGGAAUAAUACCAAUGCAUUAAACUCUUGCGUAGUUGCUGAAAAUGUUUCGACUUUGCAAACAAGAAAAUUGAGAAGUUGAGGUUUAAUAGGCAAGAGGUGUCAGAUGAUGAAACAAGAGAUUGAGAAUUUGUCAAAGGACAAGCAGGAACUCCAGAAAAAGUUUUCUGAGAAAUCCAGA